rnacentral:rRNA from 1 species
GCUCAGCCACACCCCCAAGGGAUCUCAGCAGUGAUAAACAUUAAGCAAUAAGUGAAAACUUGACUUAGUUAAAGCUAAAAGGGCCGGUUAAACUCGUGCCAGCCACCGCGGUUAUACGAGAGGCCCAAGUUGACAGUCUUCGGCGUAAAGCGUGGUUAAAGAUAUACUAAACUAAGGCUAAACUUCCCCAAGGCUGUCAUACGCACCCGGAAACAUGAGACCCGACCACGAAAGUGGCCUUAAUACCCCCCCCCCUUGACCCCACGAAAGCUAUGAAACAAACUGGGAUUAGAUACCCCACUAUGCACAGCCAUAAACUUCGAUAGAAAUCUACAACCCCUAUCCGCCUGGGAACUACGAGCAUAAGCUUAAAACCCAAAGGACUUGGCGGUGCUUUAGACCCCCCUAGAGGAG